AAUUGACUUGAGUGACGUCUGCCCAGAGAGCCAGUCCCUGAGUCGUAGCUGUUUUGCCUGCUGCGUAAGCGCCCUUGUCUUCCGGGCCUGCCUCUGUGCAGCUGCGUGCGGGAGUCCGGUCUUUGCAGAGCAGAAGAUCCCUUCUUGAAAGCACCAUGAUCCUCUUAGAGCACUAUGACACCCGGAGGUGGUAGAGGUAAGCUGGCACUGUCCAAAUUAGACUAGGAUCUAUUUGUUAAAGCUGGUGGCAGGCUUUCCAGUGCUCGGGACUGCCCAGAAAUCUGGAUUCUUCCAAGAUGUCCCAUUUGGUACCUUGAGCCAUCCUGGAGGAAAUAUUUGAAACUGGUACCCGCUAGGAGCAUCGCUUCUUCCCUGGCAUGUCUGGGGAUUUGGGCUGGUGGGCUAUAGUGCUGCCCGCCGUCCUGCACUGGACUACGCAUUCCAGAAUUGGAAUUGGCUCCACAUCCAGGGGCUGUUUCCCUGAGCACCUUCCAUGAGGAAUGGCUUCAAAGUACCUCUGCUCUUUGACCAGAAGACACGAAACUUCAAUUACCAUACUUUACAAUUCUCUUCACGAUAUGGAGACUCCAUGGUUGAGCAUCACCUUCAUACGGAGAAUUAAAAAUAAGCCCUCGGAAGGAAAGGCAGGGAACGGAGGUGAAGAGAGUGGAACGUUGCCAUUGGUCAAAUGAUGGGCUGUGUUUAUUUUCAAUCACAAAACUAUACAUCCAUGCUCACCCAGUGUCUGUCACAUCCAGGUGCUGUGACAGAUACUGAAGAUGCAAAGAUGAAAAAGCAUCUGUUUCUGCUGUGUCGGAAGUUGCUCUGAUCCGAAGCCGGGGGGCGGACUCUAAGGAAGCCCAGAGGACGGAAGGAUGAUGCGGCUUGGUGCGGGGCUCACAGGAAGGCUUUCUCCUUGAGGCAACCAUUGAACCGGACCUUGAAAGUUUCAUAGGCCUUCGCUGGACUACAAGAAAGGACACUCUUUUUUAUUUUCUUUUUUUAAGAUUUUAUUUAUUUGAGAGCGAGAAAGGGCACGAGCCGGGCGGGGGCGGGGAGGGACAGAGGCAGAGGGAAAAGCAGGCUCCCCACAGGAGCCUGAUGUGGGGCUCGAUCCCAGGACCCUGGGAUCAUGACCUGAGCUGAAGGCAGACGCUUAACCAACUGAGCCACCCAGGAGCCCCUCAACUCUAUUUUUAACUUGAUUUUUAAAAAAAUCUUGCUCUAUAUGUUAUUAGCCUUUUAAAUGUGAACCUAUGCUUAUGAAGUAAAUGUUUAGCUUUGUUGCUUAAUAAAAGUUCUACUUUUGGGCGCCUGGGUGGCUCAGGUGGUUAAGCGACUGCCUUCGGCUCAGGUCAUGAUCCUGGAGUCCCUGGAUCGAGUCCCACAUCGGGCUCCCUGCUCAGCAGGGAGUCUGCUUCUCCCUCUGACCCUCCCCCCUCUCAUGUACUCUCUCUCAUUCUCGCUCUCUCAAAUGAAUAAAUAAAUCUUUUAAAAAAAUGAUAAAAGUUCUACUUUUGUGGGGGAAAAAAGGCCCAUUUUAGACAAGUGUGCUGCAUUCUCUCUGACUGAGUUGCUCAGGCUGAAGGGGAUUCAGAGGGGUCUGGAUACUGAGGCUGCAACCAGGUGGCACCUUUAUUAGUACCUUGGCAGAAAGGGAGCAUCACUUUGGGAAUACCGACUCAUAUUCAUAGAACAAUGGCAGACAUUAUCGUACCAAAAUGGAAAAUCCAAUGCACCAACUUUAUUUCCAGGGUGAAUUUUGAGUAUAUGGAACCCUUGCCAGCUGUGGAGAGAUGGAAAGUGCAUUGAACUUGGAGGCAGAAGAUUGGGUUGCCUGUGUCUGCCACUUACUUGCUGUGUGAUCUUGUGCAAACCAUUUAACUUCUCUGAGCUCAGUGUUCUCAUUGAUAAAAUCAUGAGGACCAGAGAAAGGUCCGUGGAAAGUCUUCAUUUUCUAGGAGCGUGGUGUCAGAUCUUCCAGAGAGGUUGUGGAUAGGAUUAAUAAAAUCCCGUAUUUGACUGUGACUAGCCCAGGGCCUGGAGCAAAGUGGCCACUCCAAAGCUGCUUGCUCCUUUCUUCAUUGUUACUCUGAGCAGAGCAUUGACAAGCCUGCAGUACAUGGUGUCCUGCCAAUCAGGAACAACAUGACCAAUGGCCUCUACCCUAGCAGAGCCACCAUUUUCCUGCUGCUUGGUAGGUAGAAGAAGGUAUGAAGCAUUAUGCUAGCUGAGCUGGUGGAAUCCAUGUCUCUCAGGACUUUAAGUGCUUGGGGAGCAACUGAGUCUUUUCCUUAUUUGGGUAUCAAAAUAAAAUCUCCAGGGGUGCCCAGGUGGCUCAGUCGGUUUAGCUUCUGCCUUCAGCUCAGGUCGUGAUCCCAGGCUCCUGGGAUGGAGUCCCUCGUGGGGCUCCCUGCUCAGCGGGGAGUCUGCUUUUCCCUCUGCCUGGUGCUCCCCCUGCCCGUGCUCUCUCUCUCUCUCUGCUUUCUCUUUCUCUCGUUAUCAAAUAGAUAAAAUCUUUUAAAAAAAUAAAUAAAAUCUCCAAAGUAGAGAGAGAUCUAGUGUAAAACUGGAAUGCUCAAAUGGUUCACACGAUCCGUGUCUGAGAAUCAGAAAAGUCAGUUUCAUCGGACAUCCUUAGAAAAGGAGGCACGAGCAAGGGUGGGCCUGGUUUGGAGGGUGUCAACACGCAGAUGGGGUGUGGAGGAGGGGGACAGGAUGUAGAGAAGGAUGCCCUGACAUUCCUUCAAUGGCUGCAAAUUGCUUUGUAAGGGAGGAUUCCCCACUCGGGAUCAAUAAGCAAUUCUCAGCUGAUAUUCUUUAAAGCACAUAAAAGUGUGGAAGCAAUCAUACGGCGGGGGAGUUUCCAUGGGGCCCUAGGCAGGCUGAGGUAGAAGAAUGAAAGCUGCCUUAGAGGGCUCAGGAGAGGGAGGAAGGGAAACAGCUGUGAGCAUCUCUGGAAGGAGGAAACCUGUAAUAUUCACACACAGGGUGAGAAAGAAAGAAAAGGAACAAGGACAUAGGGCAGCCGGAAACAGCACAUUUCCACUGAUUUCACUUUUGAAAGCAUAAUGGUCUUGUUAAAAAAAAAAAAAAAUUGGGGAACUGGUGCACUGGAGGGUUUGUUUUUAACCAAUGAGUCAACAAGUUGGGCUUUAACUUUAAAACUGUAAUUCCACCUUUACUGUUUGUUGGAGGUCUCAUCAACAUGGGUUUGAGAGGGAGCACUCAAAGUUUAACACUGUAUCCACUGAAUUUAACUUGUCCGAAGAUGGAAAUAUGGUCUACACCGCUGCUCGUUUUGUGUGGGCUGGAGGACUGCUGGUCUAUAACCUGGUCUAUAAACAUCUAUAACCAAGAUGAUAGGAACACAUACUGGGAAAUUAAAAGAAAUGUGGACAAGAGGGAGGCAGAUAACACCUGUUGUGCUGAGCAUCCACUAAAUCUUUCUGAGUCUUUGCCUCAUCUGAUAAAUGAGGACCCAUCUCGCCGGCUGUUGUGAAAAUAAGAUUCGGUAACUGUAGGAGUAGAUACUGAGCAGAUAAAUGGUGCACUUUCUCUGGCAGACCUGCAGGUACCCUCGUGUUUUCUGAAGAAACAUUUGUUACCUGCCAUGUAGAAAUGUGCUUUGUGUCAUCUAAGGCAAAUGGGGCGCUGGUGAUUGAAUCUAAGUUUUCUCUUCUUCCAACCUCAAGGGGCAAAAGUUAAGUUAGGAGAAUGGAUAUUUCGUGUUUCUUGCUGUGUCACAGAGUCGUUGGUUGGGGGGAGUUUGCGGGGGGCGGGAAGAAUGAUGGCUAUUUUGAUGUCUCUAUUAAUCAUACACUAGACCCUUGCCAGGCAGCCGAAACAACUACAUUUUCUGGCGUCAUUUAUAUACUGCUGGCCUAUGGAGAGGGAGCUUUGGAGAGGGUCCCAAAGGAAAGCCAACAGCAAGUGUGCACUUCUCUCAGAUACCAUGCUGGGCACUUUCAAAUGCAAUAUUCCUUCAGCUCCUCGACCUACCCUAGGAAGGAAUAUGUCCACUUUAGGAAAGGAAAGACUGCAACUGAGAGAGAUUGACGUGCCCGCACACUUACUACAAUCAGUGUUUGGACUCUGACUACAGAGAAGCAUUGAGCCUGAGAUCCUUGUGAGCUGGGGGCAGGGGAGGGACAGAAGAGUAAGCACCGAGUCUGUCAAUACUGAUUCAAAAUCCUCAUUGCUUCUGCUACGGACAUCAGUCGAGUGUGGUCAGAAAACCUCUGGAAGUUUCUGGCACACACGGAACCUUUCCAGCCACCCCUAGCACAUCUCCGGGGCUCUGGCUCGUGAGGGAAGCCACGGGCCCUCUGCGUGCCAGGGCAGACAGCUCUGGGUCAAAGGGAUGAUUUCAGAAUUAACUUCAUCUCAUGGAUGAGUUUCAUUUCAUUGACAAAUAGUCCUGCCCGGGUUGGCCAUGAGUGCGUCUCUAGGGAAGGACCUUGUCGUGGGACGAUUUAGAGGGAUCUUAUUACUCUGUGUAAUAUUGCUCUUUUUACUGUGAUAAAAGAAACUGCCACUUCUUAAAUACCCACUGGCUAUGGACUGCAUUUUACACAUAUCAUCUCAUUUAAUUCACACAAUGACUCUAUGUAGUAAAUAUAUUCACUCUUAUUUUAUAGACAAAAAGGCUCAAGAAGGCUAAGAGGCUUGCCAAAGGUCACAGUAAGUGGCAGAGCGGCAAUGCACAAUGCCAUCUUUUUAAUGCUCAAGAGUGUGGUCUUUCCACCUCACUGUAAUGUGACUCCCUAUAAUAAUGAAUAAUAAAUAAAGAAAUAAUAAUAAAUAAAUAAAAUAAUAAAUAAU